GCAGUCACGGGGGCCCGCAAGGGCAACCGGCGAACGGGUGCGUAACACGUGAGCAAUCUACCGAUUUCUGGGGGAUAGCCGGCCCAACGGCCGGGUAAUACCGCAUACGCUCGCGGAGAGGAGUCUCUCUGUGAGGAAACCUCCGGGGGAAAUCGAGGAGCUCGCGGCCUAUCAGCUAAUUGGCGGGGUAACGGCCCACCAAGGCUAUGACGGGUAGCUGGUCUGAGAGGAUGGCCAGCCACAUUGGGACUGAGAAACGGCCCAGACUCCUACGGGAGGCAGCAGUGGGGAAUCUUGCGCAAUGGCCGAAAGGCUGACGCAGCGACGCCGCGUGUGGGAGGACGCCCUUCGGGGUGUAAACCACUGUUGCCCGGGACGAACAUCCUCUUUCGAGAGGACUGACGGUACCGGCGGAAUAAGCACCGGCUAACUACGUGCCAGCAGCCGCGGUAAUACGUAGGGUGCGAGCGUUAAUCGGAAUUACUGGGCGUAAAGCGUGCGCAGGCGGUUCGUUGUGUCGGCGGUGAAAGCCCCGGGCUCAACCUGGGAA
rnacentral:rRNA from 1 species